GCCAGAGUGGUAUAGUGGUUUGAAUGCUGGUCUAGGACACUGGAGACCAGGAUUCAAAUCUUUGCUCAGCCA